UAGUUGAUAGUAAUGAUAAUGAUAUAUCGAUGAUGAAUAUUCCUGUGUAUACAUGUAUAUAUCGUUUUUUGCAGAAAAAUGGAGCAGAAAUAAAGAGGAAAGUAAAGAGAGAUGGAGGGAGGGACAAAAGGGUGAUUUCCGGUGGAUCAAGUGAAAGAGGGAGUCGGGCUCAAGAUCCUUGUAUCGACGUUCACGGAGCGAAGAAAAAUGCGACGACACUUAACGUUCGUUCCGACCAGCUCGAAUCUUAUUCUUCACCUUUCAUUUUCAGGUGAUGGCUGGAAAACCGAGUUGGAAGAAUGGGACAAAAAUGAGAAUACACCUUCCAGGACGACCUAUUUGAACGUCUCGGAUAGAUAUAAUUAUGCACUAGGGGGCCCUAGAUUCUAGUUUCCCUUUGACACGAACUUUUGUUUUGAACAGUAUCGUUCAACUUUGCCAUGCACUUCACAGGCGAUGUUAAGAACAAAGUUAUAGGUAACGAGAUUAACGAGAACAGAGAUUUCAGAAUUGUCUAUCUAUGCAUAACAUUAUCAAAAUGUUGAUAAAGAAAUCGCGUGAUAUCAUCCAACAAUUUUCUCCAAAAUUUUCCAGCUAAAUCUACUAUAUUGGAUCGUUCGUUAUUUGCUUUAUCUCGUUUUAUCCGUACAGAUAAUCGUUAAAUAAUAAUUUUAAGUUUUCCUUACCUCACGUGAAAUUAUCGUACUGAUGCAAUGAAACUUUAUUUUCCAAACUCGGUACAUUUCCACCUCGGCGGAUGGUAUAUUGAGCGUGUUAUUAAUAAUACUAUUCGCGAAAUAAACGUCAAUCUUUCGUGAUAAGUAAAUUCGGAAUUGAAGGAUACCUCGUUGUACAAGCAAGCGUUCGUUUAUAUAACGAGAGGAUUGAAUUUUGUUAAGGAAACUUGGGAAGAACUCGAGGCGAGGAUAUUAUCAUGAAUUUGCUACAUUCGCGAUAUCUCGUUCGUGAUAUUUAAAUUUGGAUAUUCGCCGUUGCGUAAAUCGAAACGUGGAAUAAAAAUAAAAAAAUUAUUACAUUAUCUACACUUUUAUAAAUUUUCUUUUCUCCUUCUGAAUGUCGAAACCUUGUUUAUUAGAAAACGUAAUUACAACGAAUAAUCUAGAAUAAUAUUUCAUUGAACGACGUAGAACACAAAUCGGAUUAAGAAGGAAAUAUGAUAAAAAAAAAUAAAAAAAUUAUUACACUGAAUUUAUAUUUUACAAUCGAGACUUUUAUAAAUACUUUUCUCCUCCUGAAACCUUGUUUAUUAGAAAACGUAAUUACAACGAAUAAGAAUAGUGUUUCAUUGAACGACGUAGAACACAAAUCGGAUUAAGAAGAAAAUGUAAAUAUAAAAUUCGACGAACUGUUACGAUAAACUGUCGCCACUAAUUAACUUGAUAAACAUGCCAUCACGCCACAAACAUUCAUACACUCGAGGACAAUUAUUAUCUCGAAUAGAAUCGUGCCCCGUGGGGAGGGGAGGGAGGAGGAGAGGGCCUCUAUUAGGCCUGAGGCAGUUUCAAACGAGAUUCCUCGCGGAGAAGCUUAACUAAAACUCGAUGCCACGACAAACCGGUGAGUCGAGUAGCGCGGCAUCGUUGCAGCUACGUGGCUUCAACUCGUUAAGGAUGACAGGCAGUUGUGUCGACGUAAAAUAAGGGGCACGAGGAACACGAUGGAGCAUAGUUCACGAGAACACGGACCAAUCUCCCCACGGGAUCGUUCCGCCCAAGCUACAGGAUCAUUGCACGAAAUGGAAAAUAACGAAGAUGAGUUCGAGAAGAAAUCGAUGAGCAACGUCAACCAGGGAAUAUCAACCAGGCCAACUUAUAAGAAGGAACGGACAAAGUUUAAAAUCUCUUGGCAUAAAUUGAACGAAGAAGGAAGGGGAAAGAGAGAGAAAUUCCAGAAACUUAUCUGCAAAUGUUUCGGAAUGGAAAGAUUUACAUUUCCACCGAGGAUACCGCAAUUUCUCGCCUCGAGCUGCGAAGAAGCCAACGCUCAUUCGGUUUCAGUUUCGGAUUAAAAGUAAUCCAACAUCCUUUGUAAUAUGUCGGUAGACUAGGAUAAAUCUUUUCCACGAUCUUUCCUUGGCCGACGACUUCCCUUCCCCUCGACAGCGAAUUUUUAUGUAAAUUUAACGGCCUCGCCCGACAUUAUGGACUUUUACACUUCUCGAAGAAGAAUGUAAUACGAUCGAAACGCGUGAAAAUCUGGGUUGAAGUUUAUUAUGCAAAGGAUCGUUUAUUAUUCAAACGAUAACAAGUAACAGGCUUACUUGUGCUUAAGCUUUUCGAGAUCGAGACGUGAAUAUAUUCACCUUCGUCAAGAUCAUAAUUAUCCAGGUUUCGGGCAAAGUAUUUCAAGUUAUUUUUAUUUAAAGAGAAAUGAAAAGAUGUAGCAAGAAAGUCUCGGAAGGCUGAAGAAAGAUUACUCGCGAUACUUAUCCUCGAAAGAGGAUGAAAAAAAUUCUUGAAGCGAAGUUAAUGAACGUUCAAAGUUUUCUAAAAAAAAAGGAAAAGAAAAAAGGAAUGAAAUCUCUUCUUGAAGAGGGAGAGUCUACUGAAGAGUUUUUGGAAGCAAAGUAUACUGCAAUAAAUUCUCGUAAAAGAAUGAAGGAAACGAAGAGAAAAAAAGUCUUGAAAAAUAUCGAAAAUCCUUGACAGUUCCUUUCGGUUUAAAUAUAUCUUCAUAAUUUAAAAGAGAAUGUAAAAAAAAUAUUUAGAAUUUUGUAUGUAAAAUAAUUAAUACUUGUUGAGAGCAAAUAAUAUGUAAAUAUAAAUAUAUACGUGUAGAAUAUAUAUGUAUUCAGCGCGAAAUUCAUGCGCAGAAUUCUCUAAAAUCGAGUUUCGUUUUAUUUUAACGUGUAUUUAUUUUAAUAUGUACAUAUGAAUUAUAUGGAAUUAAUAAUAAGUAGACUUACUAAAUAUACAUUAAAUAUUUGCAGCUAUACAAUUAUGUAUAUUUAGAGUGUAUGCUAUAGAGAAAUUCAACAGGAAAAAUAUAGAAAAAUAAAGGAAAAAUAAAAUUACGAACGAAACAUAAAUACAAUUUUUUAAAAAUGAAUUAUUCAAUGAUACCAUACAACUUAAUUCCAAGUUAAAAUUAGUUUUAAAUUAAACGAUCAAGGAUAUUAAAAAAAAUUAAGGAAUAAACGACAAGAUAUUUUAUUAUUUAAUUCUAAAUUUUCUCUAUGGAUAAAGACACUAUUGGAUUAAAAAUUAAUGACCAUUUUAACGGUAUAAUAUAAUGGGUCAAAGAUACGAGACAAGUGCUCGAGCUAAGUAAGAUUCUCUAACCUUUCCACAGCCACUUCCGGCACUAAUGUGGCUUCCGACUAUUCGAGCUAUCCACGAUCAAAUAUAUCGUCGAAUUUCUAUUUCCACUUUCAUCCCAUUCUUCGAACAAAUUCGAUCAUUAAAUAACAAAUUCUAUUUAUGGAAAAUAUAAUGAUCGUCAAUUAAUUAUAAAAGAAUUAAAUAUAAAGUGUGAAUUAAGAAGAAAACGGAAAGUGAUCCAGAUAAUUAAUCAAUACAGUAAAGAUUAUGGAAAUUGGUAUUCAAUAGCUCGAGACUGCAUGAUCUGAUAUAAGACCUCCAUAACAUUGCAAUCGAUAUUAGGUGUAACGAUGAAGAUGACCAUCCGAUAUCCCAAGUGUGUUGAACCUGAUACUCCGUUCUAGUUGUGUAACAGAUAUCCAGAAAUCCUACUAAUCGUGAAAUCCAUCCGAUCAUCAAAAUUAGGAAUAUGUUCUAAACUCCGGUAACCAAGCAGAAAUUUAUGUUUUGUAUCAUCAAAGAUAUUCGAAAACCGUAUUAUUUAUUAGGCCAGUAUUUUAUAUUAAAGAUAUUGAAGUCACAUAUA